rnacentral:rRNA from 1 species
CGGCAGGCCUAACACAUGCAAGUCGAGCGGAAACGACAACAUUGACCCUUCGGGUGAUUUGUUGGGCGUCGAGCGGCGGACGGGUGAGUAAUGCCUGGGAAAUUGCCCUGAUGUGGGGGAUAACCAUUGGAAACGAUGGCUAAUACCGCAUAACGUCUACGGACCAAAGAGGGGGACCUUCGGGCCUCUCGCUUCAGGAUAUGCCCAGGUGGGAUUAGCUAGUUGGUGAGGUAAUGGCUCACCAAGGCGACGAUCCCUAGCUGGUCUGAGAGGAUGAUCAGCCACACUGGAACUGAGACACGGUCCAGACUCCUACGGGAGGCAGCAGUGGGGAAUAUUGCACAAUGGGCGCAAGCCUGAUGCAGCCAUGCCGCGUGUAUGAAGAAGGCCUUCGGGUUGUAAAGUACUUUCAGUCGUGAGGAAGGCGUUGAAGUUAAUAGCUUUAUCGUUUGACGUUAGCGACAGAAGAAGCACCGGCUAACUCCGUGCCAGCAGCCGCGGUAAUACGGAGGGUGCGAGCGUUAAUCGGAAUUACUGGGCGUAAAGCGCAUGCAGGUGGUUUGUUAAGUCAGAUGUGAAAGCCCGGGGCUCAACCUCGGAACCGCAUUUGAAACUGGCAGGCUAGAGUA